AAAAAUAUCCUAAGAUACUAAAAAAAAGUCUCGUCGUCGCUUUCGCUUUAUCUCUUUCCCUUCCCUUCCUUUCCCCCUGUGAUGUACGAAGCACGUUAAUGGCGGCUCCGCAUUUCACACAAAUCGAAACAACAGUAAACCCUCUCAUGCACUCCUCCUUCCUCUUCUCAUGUCUCCUAUCUCUCUCCCUCUUCUCCCUCAUCUCCGCUACCUACUUCCUCCUCAAAGCUUCCCGCCGCCGCAGAGCUGCUGUGAACAGCCGUAAACCCUUAUCCGAAUCCGAAACCAAACUCGAACCAUCGGAGAUUUCUGACGCGACCCAUUACCAAACCUGUGAAGAUAACGAGACCCGUUUAGCAAAAUCGCGUCUUUUCGAGUUACUGCUCUGCGAUAAGAAGGAGGAGGAGGAGGAAGAAGAAUCGGAUUGGGAGGGUGAUCAAGGAGUUUCUGCAAAGAAGAGGAAGAAGAAGAAGAAGAAGAGAGGUAAGAAGAAGAAGAAGUCGGAGGUUGGGAAUGAUGAUGAAUCAGGCGGCGAUGGGUUGGUUUCGAAUCCGGAAACCAAACCGGCGUUCGUUUGCUUGUACCCUUUUACCUCGUCGAGCAGUGCUACGCAGAGGAAGAUCAAGCAGCAGUACGAUCACCUUGUCAAGUGCAAUAGUGCUAAAGGAUUGACCUUAGCUCAGGUUGGGGAAUUUGCUAACUGUUUGAUAGAAGCCAAAAAUGAAUUACAGAACAAGUCGGAGGUGAUCAAGCGUAAGUUUUCAAUAACAAAAGCUCUUCUGUGCAAGGCUGAUAGAUCUUCCUUUGACCGAAUUCGUCAACAGAUUUACAAGCUGGAGAUGGAACAAAAAAGAGUACAAGAAGAUGCACUUGUAUAUAAUUGGCUCCAACAACAGUUAAAACUUUCACCUGCAUACAAAAAGUGUAGGUUCUUGAGAUAAGCGCUUCCAUGGAACUCAAAGAAAAAUCGAGUACAGAGUUGGACAGUCAAGAUGAUGAAGUUUCAGACAUCUCCUUCGAAGAGCUGUUGGAACAGGAGAAGAAAGACUCCUUUUGGCAAAAAAAUGGAAGAUUGCGAACUUGCAGCAGGACAUGAACUGGUGAUCCAAAAUUCUUGUUGCUCUGCCGUGAGCUCAGCCGGAGAACCAAAUCCUUUUUUUAAGUGAUGUGUAUAGAGAGAAAGAGAGAAAGAGAGAGAGAGAGAGAGAGAGAGAGAGAGAGUUUUAAACAAACAAACAAAAUAGUUUCCUCCACAGGCAUACGGUGGUUUCUUUUGCCCUGGGAUUACAUUAGUACAUUACAACCCGGUUAUCAAAUAGAUUUUUCGGUUUGGUUUGAGUUACAUAAAUACGGUUUAUGAUA